CGGAAGUGGCGGCGGCGCCGGCCUGGCCUGGCCUGGCUGAGGGGAGGCGGCGGGCGGGCGCGAUGGCGGAGGCCGGGCCACAGGCGCCGCCGCCCCCGGGCACUCCAAGCCGGCACGAAAAGAGCCUGGGACUGCUCACCACCAAGUUCGUGUCCCUUCUGCAGGAGGCCAAGGACGGCGUGCUUGACCUCAAGCUGGCAGCUGACACCCUAGCUGUACGCCAGAAGCGGCGGAUUUACGACAUUACCAAUGUUUUGGAAGGUAUCGGGCUAAUCGAGAAAAAGUCCAAGAACAGCAUCCAGUGGAAGGGUGUGGGGCCUGGCUGCAAUACCCGGGAGAUUGCUGACAAACUGAUUGAGCUCAAGGCAGAGAUCGAGGAGCUGCAGCAGCGGGAGCAAGAACUAGACCAGCACAAGGUGUGGGUGCAGCAGAGCAUCCGGAACGUCACAGAGGACGUGCAGAACAGCUGUUUGGCCUACGUCACUCAUGAGGACAUCUGCAGAUGCUUUGCUGGAGAUACCCUCUUGGCCAUCCGGGCCCCAUCAGGCACCAGCCUGGAGGUGCCCAUCCCAGAGGGUCUCAAUGGGCAGAAGAAGUACCAGAUUCACCUGAAGAGUGUGAGUGGUCCCAUUGAGGUUCUGCUGGUGAACAAGGAGGCAUGGAGCUCACCCCCUGUGGCUGUGCCUGUGCCACCACCUGAAGAUUUGCUCCAGAGCCCAUCUGCUGUUUCUACACCUCCACCUCUGCCCAAGCCUGCCCUAGCCCAGUCCCAGGAAGCCUCACGUCCAAAUAGUCCUCAGCUCACUCCCACUGCUGUCCCUGGCAGUGCAGAAGUCCAGGGAAUGGCUGGCCCAGCAGCUGAGAUCACAGACGGAGUCUCACUGUGUCCCCCAGGCUGGAGUGUGCAAUGGCGCGAUCUUGGCUCACUGCAACCUCUGCCUCCCAAGCUCAAGAAAUUUUCCUGCCUUAGCCUCCUGAGUAGCUGGGAUUACAGGCGCCCACCAUGCACAGCUAAUUCUCGUACUUCUAAUAGGGAUGGGGUUUCACCAUGUUGGCCAGGCUGGUUUCGAACUCCUGACCUCAAAUGAUCUGCCUGCCUCGGCCUCCUGUAGUGCUGGGAUUACAGGCUUGAACCACCAUGCCUGCCUGAAUGGGCCCUUUUUAACAGGGAACCUCUGACUGUGGGAAGAGCCAUUGCUGGUGGCAGUUUUCUCCCCCAGAUCCACAUCCACUGGUGUCUCAAUUGCCCUGGUAGCCCAUCUUGAAGCAUGGCCACAGCAGACAUGUUGACCACGAGUCUUCUUCUGUAGGUCUUGUGUCCCUGUCUCCUGUGGUGACUAAUUUCAGGUUACUUCCUCUGGGGUGACUGGCAAUGCCUAAUUCUCCUUGGGUCUGGGAACCAGGCUUGUGGUCCUCCUGUGUCUGGGUUCCAGCACAGCCAGUUUCAACGACCUCUUCCUGACCUUGUAUGACUGGGUCUGGGGGCUAUCAUUGUAGUGAGUGGCGGCCCUGGGACUGAUAGCAAGGACAGUGGUGAGCUCAGUUCACUCCCACUGGGCCCAACAACACUGGACACCCGGCCACUGCAGUCUUCUGCCCUGCUGGACAGCAGCAGCAGCAGCAGCAGCAACAGUAACAGCAGCAGUUCGUCCGGACCCAACCCUUCUACCUCCUUUGAGCCCAUCAAGGCAGACCCCACAGGUGUUUUGGAACUCCCCAAAGAGCUGUCAGAAAUCUUUGAUCCCACACGAGAGUGCAUGAGCUCGGAGCUGCUGGAGGAGUUGAUGUCCUCAGAAGUGUUUGCCCCUCUGCUCCGUCUUUCUCCACCCCCCGGAGACCACGAUUAUAUCUACAACCUGGACGAGAGUGAAGGUGUCUGUGACCUCUUUGAUGUGCCUGUUCUCAACCUCUGACUGACAGGGACAUGCACUGUGUGGCUGGGACCCAGACUGUCUGACCUGGGGGUUGCCUGGGGACCUCUCCCACCCAACCCCUACAGAGCUUGAGAGCCACAGACGCCUGGCUUCUCCGGUCUCCCCUCACCGCACAGUUCUGGCCACAGCUCCCGCUCCUGUGCUGGCACUUCUGUGCUCGCAGAGCAGGGGAACAGGACUCAGCCCCCAUCACCGUGGAGCCAAAGUGUUUGCUUCUCCCUUUCUGCGGCCUUCACCAGCCCAGGCUCGGCUGCCACCCAGUGGCACAGAACCGAGGAGCUGCCAUUACCCCCCACAGGGGGCAGUGUCUUGCUCCUGCCAGCCUCAGUGUCUUGCUUCUGCCAGCUCCUUCCCCUAGGAGGGAAGGGUGGGGUGGAACUGGGCACAUGCCAGCACCACUUCUAGCUUCCUUCGCUAUCCCCCACCCCCUGACCCUCCAGCUCCUCCUGGCCCUCUCACGUGCCCACUUCUGCUGGGCCUUUAGCCCUAGAACCUGCAGGUGGUGGGGGCGGCUACCAAGAAGGAACAGAGGUCUCUGGGGAGGAGUCUGGGUGGUCCAGCCCUGAUGAUUGGCCCCACCUCCUGCUGCCCCAUAACCCUCUCUUCAUUUCGGCUUUUUCAUUUACCCUCAUUUAGAGCCAUUUGCAGAGAUUUAGAAAGAUUUACAGUAACGAAUGGAUUCCUAUAUAAAGAUUAUUUUUAUACUUUUUGCAGCAAAAGGAAAUUGUAAUAUUUGUACAGUGUUCAAGUGAAUAAAAACCAUGCCUAAGGCUA